CAGCACCUUCUCAUUGUCAUGUUCUUUGUUCUUGUGAGAUCAAUGAUAUUUCUAAUGUGCUAGAGCAAAAUUGGAGGCUAAUUAGCAGAUGGUCUUUUUAUGUAACCAUAACUGCCAGUCCCCUCCAUACAUUU